AAUAUUGGACAAUGGGGGAAACCCUGAUCCAGCAAUGCCGCGUGAGUGAUGAAGGCCUUAGGGUUGUAAAGCUCUUUCGGUGGUGACGAUGAUGACGGUAACCACAGAAGAAGCCCCGGCUAACUUCGUGCCAGCAGCCGCGGUAAGACGAAGGGGGCUAGCGUUGUUCGGAAUUACUGGGCGUAAAGCGCACGUAGGCGGCCUUUCAAGUCAGAUGUGAAAGCCCCGAGCUUAACUCGGGAAAUGCAUUUGAUACUGUUGGGCUAGAGACCGGGAGAGGAUAGCGGAAUUCCCAGUGUAGAGGUGAAAUUCGUAGAUAUUCGGAAGAACACCAGUGGCGAAGGCGACUUACUGGACGACUGUUGACGCUGAGGUGCGAAAGCGUGGGGAGCAAAC
rnacentral:rRNA from 1 species